GGCCUAGUGGUGGAUGGUCCACACUCGCAAUAAAUUCGCAGUACAGUACUGAGGUAUGUGAGCGAGAGAUGCGUGUUCGAAUCACACCUGGGUCC